rnacentral:rRNA from 1 species
UACGGGGGGGGCAAGCGUUGUUCGGAAUUACUGGGCGUAAAGGGCGCGUAGGCGGCCUGCUAAGUCGGAUGUGAAAUCCCUCGGCUCAACCGAGGAACUGCAUCCGAUACUGGCGGGCUUGAAUCCGGGAGAGGGAUGUGGAAUUCCAGGUGUAGCGGUGAAAUGCGUAGAUAUCUGGAGGAACACCCGUGGCGAAAGCGGCUCUCUGGGACGGUACUGACGCUGAGACGCGAAAGCGUGGGGAGCAAACAGG